rnacentral:rRNA from 1 species
UCGAGAAUCUUCGGCAAUGGGCGCAAGCCUGACCGAGCGACGCCGCGUGCGGGAUGAAGGCCUUCGGGUUGUAAACCGCUGUCGUAGGGGAGGAAGGUCUGGUGAAGAGCCAGGCUUGACCGAUCCUAGGAGGAAGGGCCGGCUAAUCUCGUGCCAGCAGCCGCGGUAAUACGAGAGGCCCAAACGUUAUUCGGAUUUACUGGGCUUAAAGAGUUCGUAGGCGGCGCAGAAAGUAGGGUGUGAAAGCCCUCGGCUCAACCGAGGAAUUGCGCUCUAAACUACUGUGCUUGAGGGACCUAGAGGUGAGCGGAACUGAUGGUGGAGCGGUGAAAUGCGUUGAUAUCAUCAGGAACACCGGAGGCGAAGGCGGCUCACUGGGGGUCUUCUGACGCUGAGGAACGAAAGCCAGGGGAGCGAACG